rnacentral:rRNA from 1 species
AGGACGAACGCUGGCGGCGUGCUUAACACAUGCAAGUCGAGCGGAAAGGCCCUUCGGGGUACUCGAGCGGCGAACGGGUGAGUAACACGUGAGUAAUCUGCCCCUAGCUCUGGGAUAGCUCCGGGAAACCGGGAUUAAUACCGGAUACGACCACCUUAGACAUCUUUUGUGGUGGAAAGAAUUUCGGCUAGGGAUGAGCUCGCGGCCUAUCAGCUUGUUGGUGGGGUAACGGCCUACCAAGGCGACGACGGGUAGCCGGCCUGAGAGGGCGACCGGCCACACUGGGACUGAGACACGGCCCAGACUCCUACGGGAGGCAGCAGUGGGGAAUAUUGCGCAAUGGGCGAAAGCCUGACGCAGCGACGCCGCGUGGGGGAUGAAGGCCUUCGGGUUGUAAACCCUUUCAGCAGGGACGAAGCGAAAGUGACGGUACCUGCAGAAGAAGCGCCGGCUAACUACGCGCCAGCAGCCGC